rnacentral:lncRNA from 1 species
AGAAUCUGGAUAAAGGGUAUAAGGAAUUCUUUGUACUAUUUUUGCAACUCUUUUAAUGUCUAAAAUUGUAUCAAAAAUACACAUCAUAUACAUCUUGUCCCACUAUAAGACUCAGCGAAGACAGCAAAGGGACAUGCCAUUUUCUUGAUGCACCCUAUAAUAAUUUAUUUUAUGCCACCAGUAAAAACUUUUAGUGGGCCCUACAAAAACCUGAGCAUAGAUGGCUUGCCUCAAGUAAUUUAGGUAGAUUUCCCACCUCCUUUCCUGCAAACUAUUCUUUUCAGAAAUUGGCCUGAUGAUCCUAAAGAAGUUCACCUAUUGCAGACAUGACUGUUUGGUCUAAGAAAGUAAGAAGUCAUGCGUGGCCUGAAGAAGGGAAAGAACUUAUCUAUAUUCAAUCUUCUCCAGAGGAGCAGUGACCAGAGAUUUUUCCACCUACACUACUUAUGAGUUUCACCAAGCAGUGAGACUACCAGCUGGCAGUGACUACAGGGUCCUGCAAAAUCUGUGCCACCAUCUUCUCUUUCUUUGUUUCCUUCCAACUUUGAUAUUAGGUUCAGGGGGUACAUGAGUAGAUUUGUUGCAAUGGCAAAUUGUGUGUCACUCAGGUUUGGUAUACAAAUGAUUUUGUCACCCAGGUAAGCAUAGUACCCAAUAGGUAGUUUUUUGAUCCUCACCCUCUCACUCCUUCCACCCUCAAGUGGGUCCUGGUAUCUAUUGUUUCCUU